UUCAGCCUUCAAACUUUUAGUCCCGUAAAAAUACAGAGAAAUGGGAGUAUUAGGUUUGCAGCGGUAAGAGGGCUUUGAGAGACUUCAAGCUUGAGGCUUGCGGUACCGUUCUGGUUUGAAAGAAGGCUCAGGUGGGUUUUUCUCUGUUGCAGCCAUGGUGGGUUGGCA